rnacentral:rRNA from 1 species
AUACGGAGGGUCCAAGCGUUAUCCGGAAUCAUUGGGCUUAAAGGGUCCGCAGGCGGUCAAUUAAGUCAGAGGUGAAAGCCCAUCGCUCAACGAUGGAACUGCCUUUGAUACUGGUUGACUUGAGUUAUACGGAAGUAGAUAGAAUAAGUAGUGUAGCGGUGAAAUGCAUAGAUAUUACUUAGAAUACCGAUUGCGAAGGCAGUCUACUACGUAUAUACUGACGCUGAGGGACGAAAGCGUGGGGAGCGAACAGGAUUAGAUACCCUAGUAGUCC